UUUUUUUUUUUUUUUACUGUAAAAUGUGUUUUGACCCGAACAAGAAUGUUGCUGUCUGUAGUGUCACUCCAUCAUCUGAGGAGGAACCACAGCUUUUCUUUUUGUUCCUUUAGCUAUAUAUAUUCUGUAUAUCUAUAUAUGUAUGAGUAUAAAUAUAAAUAUAUAGUAGAUACAUAAUAUCUAUAGGGAUGUGUACAGUGUGAGGAUGGUUGCUGUGUAUAUACUGUUAUGUAACAAUAGCUGCCAAAGCCAAACUGUGGUUUGACUUAUAACCACAUUAUUUAAUAUCCGCUUAAAUUGGGUUGACACUACAAGAUUUUAUGCUUUACGUUUACGGUUUAUCUUUUUCAUAACCAGUUUUCACUUCAUUCUUUAAAGGUAAUUUCAUUUUAGCGCAUGUACUUUUCUUUACUGUUGAUGACCUUGGUAGCACAGCCAGAUUGGGCCCAGAGGCUUUUCUGGCAGGUUUGGCUAAUAUUGGUGAAACAUUUUCCCCAUCCUAAUGGUAGUGAAAGGAGGAAAAGCAAAGCACGUAAAGGUGAGAUACUGUAGAGCCGUGGCCAAAGAGGUGUCAACUCAUCAUCACUUACAUGUAGAUAGCAAUGGUUUUGUGCUGCUUCUUUUUUUCUUUUCUCUUUUUUUUUAAACUCCGCUCUUAUAUUUAGACUCAUCCCCAGUUCCAGUUCUGGAUGGAGGGGAUCCUCGUGUAAUCACAAUCCAGAAAGAUGUAACACUACCAUUUAUGUAUUUAACUUCCUCAUUUCAGCACUCCCGUGAGUUUACCUCAACUCAAAUAAACCUGACAUGGUUUUGAAAUUGGCUUAUAUUUUUUAUGCACUUCAGGGUUUUCUUUAUAAAUGCUCUCAGCUGUGGUUAUCAGGAUUAAACGUUCUUCCAUUCAUUUUACAUGAUGGCUCUUUCGCCUCAUGUCUCCAUUAAUUUUUUUCCCCCCGUGGCCUGAUCCCUAGUAAAGAAAACAUACAUACGAUAAAGAUCUUUAUUGGAAAAUAUAGAUCUGAGUUAACGGUUCUGCAUUAUGCGUCACUGCUUAAAGUUUGUGUAUUCACAACUGUAUUUUAUGUUACUGUUUAAUUUUUUUUAUUUCCACCAUAGAUUCUUUGUAGAAAGGAAAGGGAAUGUUUGUUGUACCCCUCCAUGGGGCUGAAAUAGUUAAAGAUUUGUCAGUGUAAAAUGAGAUCAAAUUCAUGUUGUGUUACUUUGUGUGUGAAUAUUAGAAGUCAGAUUAGAUUUGAGUUGUCCCUUAAAUUAUUGCUGUUACAAUUUUUACUAUUAUUAUUAUUACUGAGGUUGAAGCAUUAUUGAUUGGUUGCGACACUAGUCAAGUAGCCCCCCUGCACUCUGGGACUGAUCUGUACAUGCUGGAUGUAGAAUGCAGCUAACCUGCAAGUCCCUGACUACAUCCUGUAAACACUUUGACAACCGGAACCUGUUCAGGCUACAUCCUAAACUCUGUACCUUUAUAAUCUUUGGAUAAAAAAAAAUCAUGAUGCUGCUUUUAUAUACAUAGUUCAUAUUUCAAAUUUGUUUUCCAGAUUGUAAGUACUCCUGAGGAUUGGUGGACUCAGAAACCCUGAUUAGCAGCAACCCAAAGCCUUUCAGCAUUAUAAAGAAUUAACAUACCAAAUUCCCUGAGAAGUGUCUGUCUGGAUUUUUUGAAUCAGAUUGUCAAGGUUGACGUAUUUGUCAGCCUUUUUGACCCAUCUGACAUCUUGGUCGUCUGCAUGUCAGCCGCAGAAAUGUCCCUUCAUAUAAAAUUUGGAACUUCUCUGAUGUAUGUAACUACUGACUGCACAUACUGCAUGACACCAGUUCAGUAAUAACUGCAUGUGUUGAUCAUGUAACAGCUGUAUCACACACACACAUACAUGCACGCAUGCACGCACAAAUACUCCUCAAACGAUGUUACUGUCAGACCUGUCAUAUGUAAAUGUGUAAUGUCUCUUUUGGACACAGAGAGCGUGAAUGUGUGAUGAUGGAAUUUGACAAUAAAUGAUUUGUACCACUUG